rnacentral:misc_RNA from 1 species
UGUGUAAGCCCGGCGGCGGUCUGGACGAGCCGUCCGGUUGUGAGGUUGUUGGUGAUCGCCCCGAGACCGGCGGCGCCCCAUACGGCCCGGUUGCCUUGGGCGUCGUUCGAGGUGGCCCGCACGGCUCCGGUGAGGGCGGUGGCGGCGAUCGAGGUGGACGGUUCGAUGGCGAACUUGUUCGACGCGAAGUUCGAGGGGGUGUCGCAUUGGAUGAUGGCGUCGAUGU